AUAUUUUCAUCAUUCCUAUUGCUGCAUCUUUAAAAAUAAAACAAAAUAUUAAUUUUUUACCAAUUUUUAACCAUGAUAUUUUAAAUUUUAUUUUUAACCAUGCAAGCAACAGUCAUGAGGAUUAUAUCAAAAACAAAGUUCAUACAUGUGAUGAAGAGAAGACGGAUCAAGUGAAAAAAAUUAAGCCAAAAAAGGGAGAUUUAUUAGGGGUUUUGCCCUAAUUUUUUUACUAUAUUUAAGUUUUACUUUUUCUAAGAAGGAAAAUAAAAGUUACCAUAAUUAUUUUUACUUUUCCUGAAAGAAAAAAUAUAAUUCUUUUUCAUAUUUGGCUAACCUCUUUCUUGAAGAAAAGAUUUUGGACAUCUAUAAAUAGAAGACCCCCUUCUCAUACCACAACACAAUAGCAUCC
rnacentral:lncRNA from 1 species